rnacentral:lncRNA from 1 species
AAAAGCAUCUUCCUUGAUUGUAUUGGGUGCAAGUGUAUCUAGUAUGUAGGAGACUUUCUCCUCAGCGAGAAUAAUUCUCAAAUUUUUUAACCAGUCCAUAUAGUUAGGUCCGAUCAAUUUGUUAGCAUCUAAAAUUGCUCGUAGUGACAGUGAGAAUGCCAUGUGUGUAGUUAAUCUACAAUAACAAGAACACAAUAUAAGCGGAUAACUCAUGAUGAUAUGCACAACAAUAUUAGAACUUUUGUCU